AGGGUGCAGGGCGGAUGCCUUGGCACUAGGAGCCGAUGAAGGACGUGAUAAGCUGCGAUAAGCUUCGGGGAGUUGCACGUAAACUUUGAUCCGAAGAUUUCCGAAUGAGGAAACUCACUUAGAGUAAUGUCUAAGUAUCAUUAAGUGAAUACAUAGCUUAAUGAGGGGAACUCAGGGAACUGAAACAUCUAAGUACCUGAAGGAAGAGAAAGAAAUUCGAUUCCGUAAGUAGCGGCGAGCGAACGCGGAUUAGCCCAAACCAAUAAAGUUUUCUUUAUUGGGGUUGCGGACAUAUCAUAACGAAGAGGUAUCGUAAUUGAAGAGGUUUGGAAAGACCCACCACAGAAGGUAAUAGUCCUGUAUGUUAAACGAGAAGACUUUAGAUAUGAUCCAGAGUACCACGGGACACGUGAAACCCUGUGGGAAGCAGGAGGGACCACCCUCCAAGGCUAAAUACUACCUAGUGACCGAUAGCGUAUAGUACCGUGAGGGAAAGGUGAAAAGAACCCCGGGAGGGGAGUGAAAUAGAACCUGAAACCCUGCACUUACAAGCUGUGGAAGCACAUUUCUUGUGUGACCGCGUACUUUUUGUAGAACGGGCCAACGAGUUACGUUAAGUAGCAAGGUUAAGCACUUAAGGUGCGGAGCCGUAGCGAAAGCGAGUUUUAACUGAGCGUUCAGUUACUUGACGUAGACCCGAAACCGGGCGACCUACCCAUGAGCAGGAUGAAGCGAAAGUAAAAUUUCGUGGAGGUCCGAACCCACGAGCGUUGAAAAGCUCGGGGAUGACUUGUGGGUAGCGGUGAAAUUCCAAUCGAGCCCGGAGAUAGCUGGUUCUCCCCGAAAUAGCUUUAGGGCUAGCCUCAAGGUGAGAGAUACGGAGGUAGAGCACUGAAUGUCCUAGGGGGUAUUGCACCUACCGAAGACUAUCAAACUCCGAAUGCCGUCAUCUUAUACUUGGGAGUCAGACUGUGGGUGAUAAGAUUCAUAGUCGAAAGGGCAACAGCCCAGAUCGUCAGCUAAGGUCCCUAAAUGUAAGUUAAGUGGUAAAGGAUGUGGGAUUGCACAGACAACCAGGAUGUUGGCUUAGAAGCAGCCACUCAUUCAAAGAGUGCGUAAUAGCUCACUGGUCGAGUGAUCCUGCGCCGAAGAUUUCCGGGGCUAAAACUUACUACCGAAGCUACGGCAUCAGUAAUGAUGGGUAGGGGAGCUUCCCAUACGGGUUGAAGCAUGACCGUAAGGACAUGUGGACAGUAUGGGAGUGAGAAUGUUGGCAUGAGUAGCGAGAUGUGGGUGAGAAUCCCACAGGCCGUAAACCCAAGGUUUCCAGGGGAAGGUUCGUCCGCCCUGGGUUAGUCGGGACCUAAGCUGAGGCCGAAAGGCGUAGGUGAUGGACAACAGGUUGAUAUUCCUGUACUACCGAUAACCGUUUGAGAGAAGGGAUGACACAGUAGGAUAAGCUAAGCACACUGUUGGUUAUGUGUGCCCAAGCAUUGAGGCAGUCAAAGUAGGCAAAUCCGCUUUGAUAAUGCUGGGAUGUGAUGGGGAGCGAAAUUUAGUAGCGAAGUAGCUGAUUUCACACUGUCAAGAAAAGUCUCUAUCGAGGUUAAAGGUACCCGUACCGCAAACCGACACAGGUGGGUGAGGAGAGUAUCCUAAGGCCAGCGAGAGAACUGUUGUUAAGGAACUCGGCAAAAUGACCCCGUAACUUAGGGAUAAGGGGUGCCACCAUCAGGUGGCCGCAGAGAAUAGGCCCAAGCGACUGUUUACCAAAAACAUAGGUUUCUGCUAAGUCGCAAGACGAUGUAUAGGAGCUGACGCCUGCCCGGUGCUGGAAGGUUAAGGGGAUCUGUUAGAGCAAUCGAAGCAGUGAACUUAAGCCCCAGUAAACGGCGGCCGUAACUAUAACGGUCCUAAGGUAGCGAAAUUCCUUGUCGGGUAAGUUCCGACCCGCACGAAAGGCGUAACGAUUUGGGCACUGUCUCAACAACAGACUCGGUGAAAUUGUAAUUCCGGUGAAGAUGCCGGAUACCUGCGACAGGACGGAAAGACCCCAUGGAGCUUUACUGUAGCUUGACAUUGGGUCUUGGUACUACAUGUACAGGAUAGGUGGGAGGCUUUGAAACCAGGACGCCAGUUUUGGCGGAGCCAUCCUUGGGAUACCACCCUUGUAGUACUGGGACUCUAACCAUAGGCCAUGAAUCUGGUCUUGGGACACUGUCAGGUGGGCAGUUUGACUGGGGCGGUCGCCUCCCAAAAGGUAACGGAGGCGCUCAAAGGUUCUCUCAGUACGGUCGGAAAUCGUACGUAGAGUGUAAAGGCAAAAGAGAGCUUGAUUGCAAGACAUACAGGUCGAGCAAGGAUGAAAAUCGGACUUAGUGAUCCGGUGGUUCUGCGUGGAAGGGCCAUCGCUCAACGGAUAAAAGCUACCCUGGGGAUAACAGGCUUAUCUCCCCCAAGAGUCCACAUCGACGGGGAGGUUUGGCACCUCGAUGUCGGCUCAUCACAUCCUGGGGCUGUAGUAGGUCCCAAGGGUUGGGCUGUUCGCCCAUUAAAGUGGUACGCGAGCUGGGUUCAGAACGUCGUGAGACAGUUCGGUCCCUAUCCGUCGCAGGCGUAGGAAAUUUGAGAAGACCUGUCCUUAGUACGAGAGGACCGGGAUGGACGUACCUCUGGUGUACCAGUUGUUCUGCCAAGGGCAUGGCUGGGUAGCUAUGUACGGAAUGGAUAAGCGCUGAAAGCAUCUAAGCGCGAAGCCAACUUCAAGAUAAGAUUUCCCACCGCAAGGGUAAGACCCCAGAAAGACUAUCUGGUUGAUAGGUCGAAGGUGUAAGUGCAGCAAUGUAUUUAGCUUAUCGAUACUAAUAGGUCGAGGACUUGACC
rnacentral:rRNA from 1 species